UACGAAGGGGGCUAGCGUUGCUCGGAAUCACUGGGCGUAAAGGGUGCGUAGGCGGGUUCUUAAGUCAGAGGUGAAAUCCUGGAGCUCAACUCCAGAACUGCCUUUGAUACUGAGAGUCUUGAGUUCGGGAGAGGUGAGUGGAACUGCGAGUGUAGAGGUGAAAUUCGUAGAUAUUUGCAAGAACACCAGUGGCGAAGGCGGCUCACUGGCCCGAUACUGACGCUGAAGCACGAAAGCGUGGGGAGCAAACAGG
rnacentral:rRNA from 1 species